rnacentral:tRNA from 1 species
GCGGCCGUAGCUCAGUUGGUAGAGCGUCAGCUUCCCAAGCUGAAUGUCGUGGGUUCGACUCCCAUCGGCCGCU